rnacentral:rRNA from 1 species
UACAGAGGUCUCAAGCGUUGUUCGGAUUCAUUGGGCGUAAAGGGUGCGUAGGUGGCGCCGUAAGUCAGGUGUGAAAUUUCGGAGCUUAACUCCGAAACUGCAUUUGAUACUGCGGUGCUUGAGGACUGGAGAGGAGACUGGAAUUUACGGUGUAGCAGUGAAAUGCGUAGAGAUCGUAAGGAAGACCAGUGGCGAAGGCGGGGUCUCUGGACAGUUCCUGACACUGGAGGCACGAAGGCCCAGGGGGAGCAAAACGGG